UACGUGGAGUGCGAGCGUUAUCCGGAUUUACUGGGCGUAAAGCGUACCGUCGGUGACUUGGUAAGUUCUUUGUUCAAGCCUGGAGCUCAACUCCAGAUCGGCAGGGAAAACUAUCAAGAUUGAGUCUGUUCGGGGAACUUGGAAUUCCCGGUGUAGCGGUGAAAUGUGUAGAGAUCGGGAGGAACACCGGUGGCGAAGGCGGGUCUCUGGGCAAUUCCUGACGCUGAGGCGCGAAAGCGUGGGGAGCAAACGGG
rnacentral:rRNA from 1 species